rnacentral:tRNA from 1 species
GGAGAGCUGGCCGAGUGGCCGAAGGCGCCGGAUUGCUAAUCCGGAGCAGGGGUAAUGACUCUUGCCGGGAGUUCGAAUCUCCCGCUCUCCG